UACAGAGGUCUCAAGCGUUGUUCGGAUUCAUUGGGCGUAAAGGGCUGGUAGGCGGCCAACUAAGUCCGACGUGAAAUCCCAAGGCUUAACCUUGGAACUGCGUCGGAUACUGGAUGGCUUGAAUUCGGGAGAGGGAUGCGGAAUUCCAGGUGUAGCGGUGAAAUGCGUAGAUAUCUGGAGGAACACCGGUGGCGAAGGCGGCAUCCUGGACCGAGAUUGACGCUGAACAGCGAAAGCUAGGGGAGCAAACGGG
rnacentral:rRNA from 1 species